UGCUUAGUACUGCUUUGAUUUAUAAGGAUGUUUUUUCGCGUUUGAAACAGAGGGAGUCACGAUAUACAUGUUACCCUAGUGAUGGUGAUUGGGAUUUAGCAAAAGAAAUAUGUGAGAAGUUAAAGGUUUUUUUUUUUUUUUUAGGUUACUGAAUUAUUUUCAGGAACAAAGUAUCCAACUGCUAAUCUCUUCUUUGCAAAUGUUUGUGAUAUCAAACUGUCGUUGUAUGAGUGGCUUGAAUCUCCAUACAUGGAAGUUCAAAUGAUGGUAACCAGUAUGAUGGAAAAGUUCAAUAAGUAUUGGAGCAAUAUUCAUGGAGUUUUGGCUUUAGCAACAGUGCUGGAUCCGAGGAAAUUCUGCACCGUCUGCAUAUUUUGGAAGUUGCUCCAUGGUGAAUGAUGAGGAUGUUGAUGAGGAGGAUCCAUCUUCUACAAUCUCUGAACCUGUCGAUGAAUGAAGUUAUAAAGAUGGAAAAAUAUCAAAUUUAUUUUUGGAUAAAGAAGUGAAAAAUAGUUACAAUGUAAUUGUAUUUUUAAGUAUUUAUUUUUGGAUUUUGUUUGUUUCGAAUAUUUAAUUUGGAUG